CUGCAGAGCUGAACCUAUGAACACUUUUGUUGGCAAAUGCAAAAGAGAAAAUAAUUCUGUAAUCCUCUGCUGUGAGAACGGCCGAUUCGGAUCCGCGGUAUCUCCGUGUGGCGGAAAGCAAUGAGUUUCUGCACGUGGGCUGCGCUGCGCUGCGCCCCGCGUGUGCAGCACUGAGCAGCUGCGAUGGGAUGGUGCUGCAGUGCUGUGGGGCUGUGCUAUGGGGCUGUGCUAUGGGGCUGUGCUAUGGGGUCAUACUAUGGGGCUGUGCUAUAGGGCUGUGCUAUGGGGCUGUGCUAUGGGGCUGUGCUAUGGGGCUAUGGGGCUGUGCUAUAGGGCUGUGCUAUGGGGCUGUGCUAUGGGGCUGUGC
ensembl:lncRNA